rnacentral:rRNA from 1 species
GAUCAUGGCUCAGGAUGAACGCUAGCUACAGGCUUAACACAUGCGAGUCGAGGGGCAGCAUGGUCUUAGCUUGCUAAGGCCGAUGGCGACCGGCGCACGGGUGAGUAACACGUAUCCAACCUGCCGUCUACUCUCGGACAGCCUUCUGAAAGGAAGAUUAAUACAAGAUGGCAUCAUGAGUCCGCAUGUUCACAUGAUUAAAGGUAUUCCGGUAGACGAUGGGG